rnacentral:rRNA from 1 species
UGGGGAAUUGUUCGCAAUGGGCGCAAGCCUGACGACGCAACGCCGCGUGGAGGAUGAAGGUCUUCGGAUCGUAAACUCCUGUUGCCCGGGACGAAUGGCUCCGACCUAAUACGUCGGAGUGUGACGGUACCGGGUGAGGAAGCCCCGGCUAACUCUGUGCCAGCAGCCGCGGUAAUACAGAGGGGGCAAGCGUUGUUCGGAAUUACUGGGCGUAAAGGGCGCGUAGGCGGCCCGCUAAGUCGAACGUGAAAUCCCCGGGCUCAACCCGGGAACUGCGUCCGAUACUGGCGGGCUUGAAUCCGGGAGAGGGAUGCGGAAUUCCAGGUGUAGCGGUGAAAUGCGUAGAUAUCUGGAGGAACACCGGUGGCGAAGGCGGCAUCCUGGACCGGUAUUGACGCUGAGGCGCGAAAGCCAGGGGAGCAAACGGGAUUAGAUACCCAGGUAGUCCCUGAGCGGGCUGGCAAGGCGCAU